AAAAAUGUAAAGGUGAUCUUAGGGUUUUUCACAUAAUUGUAUGAAUUUUCUUGUUGAAAGAUGAGGAGAGAGAGGCUUCAGGAGGAGACGGGUAGACCUUCCAAUGCCAUGUCGGUGGACGGCGCGGAGGAAGGGGUUGCUCGUACCCCCUUUACAUUACUCUGAUUCGACCCUUUAUCUUCUGCGUCGUGUCGUUCAGACGGGACCGCCAGGCUAAAGUUGAGGCUGGCCCGUUUGGAAAUGGAGCUAAAAGAUAAGACAGCUGGAGUUUAAUUUAGAAAUGAGGAAAAUGGAAAUAGAAACCGACAAGGUGGUGAAGAUCCGACACCUGGAGCUAGACGCUGGCUCCAGUGUGACUCCACAACCUGCCCAUUUCGAAGGUCCCCCAACUGGUUUCCCCUCGACGUAAUGGACAUCUAGAUGAUCCCUGCUCUACUGCAACCUUCCCUUGUAUCAGGUUUGAAGGUAAGACCCAAGUGCAGGCAGCGUCGAAGUAACACAAGUUUAUUACAAUCAAACACAGGUAGGCAAUCACAGACAGGUGAGACACUUCAGGGUGUGACACCUUAUGAAAGAUGAUAUUUAUACUACCUCCAGAAGGUGUGCGUCUGAGUUUUUCCCAACGUGUUCUUCCAUUAUAAAAAGUGUAACGUCCCACAGUAAUAGAAGACUUCCUUGCACUUACAUAAGAGAAAAGUGUCUGAACUGAAAGCUAUGAGGGAGUCAUAGGACAUGAUUCGCAGUUUUGGCAGAAAAUAAAAAGUCAGAUGGAGAAACAAUCAUGGGAAUGUACAUUUAUUUUCCCACUAAAUCCUACCUGACUAGCACCAAAAGCUCAGCCUUUAGGGCUUUCUCAGGGACGAAGGGUCCAUAAUGGUCAGCUAUGGUGCUAAGGUCUACUUUACGCAACCUCUCCAACCGAUCAACAGAGGGCGCUUCAGUAAAAUUGGAGAUGGCUGAGGCAGCCAUUUUGUACACAGCAGCCAACUGAACACACGUAAACUUCAGUCACCCAAACUCACAACCUUACCAAUCACAGAGUUCAGAGCAGCGUGGUCCUGUGGAUUUAAUAAUCCCCGAUGAGCCCCCAUUGUGUUACAUACGCCUCUUGGAGGGAACGCAACACCCUGCUACAUCAACUCCCUGUGGAGUGAGAAAGUACGUGAUCGUAGGUGCGGGGGAAGGAUGACAGGCAGAGAAAGUUAGCGUUUACAGGGAAUUUAUUAUUCCUUAACAUGGUAAUGUGAGGAAAAGGGGCUGGAAGGAACCAAAGCAAAGAAAGUUAAACUUAAAAAGUCCCCUCGCCUACCUUCCCACCUAACCUUUAGCAACACCUGGCACGCAAACCAAAAUACAGGGGCUGGUCCGCCCAGGUUUUACCUAGUCUGCAUAGACAGAUUAAAUACUACGGGUUGUUUGACCGCAGGUCUCUUGGCUAAACAGUCCCAAGGUAUGUUCCUCCUCCCCCCUGGGAACAAAUGAAAUAGAACAAUUUCAAUAACCAAAAACACUAAGUCCUAAUGGCAUACCUCUGAAGGAGCGGCUACAAAAUAAUAUCAACAAAACUUUCACUAACCAACAACCAACACAGGACAUGAAAAAUAAGUUAUUUUCUCAUUAAGGAACACUGGAGAAGGAGUUGGUAAUUGAAGGAAGGAACAAGCUGGAGAAGGAGUUGGUAAUUGAAGAGACAGCUGUUUGCCCUGACGAGAGGGAGGAGUCAGAGCUCCAAUCAGCGAUGGGGCCGACCAAUCAGCUGCUUUAGGAUUUCAGGAAGCCAUUUCCUGAAAUACACACACAUACAAACUCACAACAACGCAGAAACUGGGGAACGUAACAGUUAUGAUAAUACCUCUUUGGCAGCCUCAUCUGAUGGUGAUUGACACCCACACAAGGAAGCAAUCAAUCUGAUCCAACACUAGUCUGAUCAGAUUACGUGGGCAUCUCUCCCUUGUACUCUUGUAAUAGGUUGUACAGCUGUUGAUAAUUAGUUUCCUAGCAGCUCUCAAUAAUCAGAUGACGUGCAUUUCCUUGGUAGAGGAUAAAUAGGUUGCUGUUGAAGAUUAUGGGUUUAAUCUCAACUCGAUAAUCUGAUGUUCUAUGAAAUUAUGUCAGAAUAGUUUUCUUGAGUUAUUGUGGAAGAUGAGAAUAUGUUUGAUGUCAACUCUACGUCCAUAAUUUGAUACUAUAUGUGAUUUGAUAGCUACUGUUUGUUCUCAGGAGAGGAUGAAGAGCUUCUGGGACUGGGAAGCCAAAGGCAGCACUGGAUCUGAUUAACCCUCCUCUUCUUUCCAUUCCUCCUAAAGCACCAGUGUUUUCUCAGAGAUGCACAGAUGAAAACCUCCCUCUCUCUCACACACAUGACCUUACUCACACGCACCAUUUCACUCUGCAAUAUGUCUACCACGUGUGAGACUCUGACCCAAUCUCCGCUAUACUCCUGCCAAAUGCUCCAUCUUCUUAUAAGGCAGGAAAUACUUGACUAAAUACGUCAUAUAGAAGUCAUUUUGGUUAUCUAAGAUUUCACAAAAUCACGUGUGUGCAACGGAUCCACUGCGUGUCUUUGCCUGUGUGAAAAAUCUUCGUGCAUAACUCUGUUACUCUUUGCUCUCCCGUUAUUAUAGGAGGCUAAUGGGAUAUUAACAGGGUUAGUAAGUUAUAUAAGUUGUGUCUUUACAAUGAAAGUCUUGGGGCCAUUCCAUCUCCACUGCCAUCUGCUCUUCCUGCCUCCAAAACAAUGUAUGUCCUUUUCCUGUCCUGUUCUGUUUGGCCUCCUAGUGGGACGUAGCGUCCAUUCCCAGGAGACCACCCUCCUGCCUGGCCGCUGUACACCCUCGACCCCAGAUACUGGGUCAGCUCUCUCUCUCUCCUCUCUGUGAGUGUUGUGUUUGUUGAGUAACUUUUACGACAGAAAAUAACCAAGCGGGAUGCAGGAGUACCAUUUCAAUAGGUUUACUGAAUGUCAAGCUCGAGACGUCAUCAGAGUGGUCACUCAAUGUUUACCACAGAGUUCUUAUUCUAUGCCCGUGCAUUCACUAUGCAGAACACUACACCGUCUCUCUCUUCUUCUCUCCAUCAAUCUCUCCCCUCUCUCUCUCUCUACAUGUGGUGUCAACCUGUCUCUCUGAGAGGCUACAGUCAUUUUCAAGAACCAGUGUGCUGACCUCUGACCCCUGCAGGAUAAGGCCCUGACAUGCAAGUGAUGAUGAUCAUCGUUGGAGUAUUGUGACAUUGUGGUAAACCAGAUCAGGAUGAGCUUGUGGAAAUCUCUCACUCCUCACCAGAAAUGAGAGGGACGGCAUCCCAAACCCAGCAUACUGCAUCCGGAUGAGAGGGAUCCUGUGGGGGAGCCUUGAUAUCCAAGUGUUAACUGAGAGGAGUAGCGUGUUGUAACACCGCAUGUGGCUGUGGCUUGGGAUGAGGAGAGAACUAGGUGAGGUUCAGUGGUGUCCGCUGAGCCCCAGCUGACCUGUUUUCCAUACCGCAAGAGAGAAGGGUAGAGUACAGUGCACUCUGAUGAUAGUGAUUACAUCUGAGCAGGACAACUUCCUGUCACACCCUGAUCUGUAUCACCUGUCUUUGUGCUCGUCUCCACCCCCCUCCAGGUGUCGCCCAUCUUCUUCAUUAUCCCCAGUGUAUUUA